AAGUAUCAUGACGUAGUCGAUGCGCCACUAUUGAAGAAAACUUUUUUGUGAUUUUACCCCAUACUUGUUUGAAUGUUGUAAAAUUUGCAUGAGCUAUUGGCUUCCCAUGGCGAGAGUCUGAAACAUGUUUUGAAGUGCCUCUCCUUUCCUUCCAUUUGAAAUUAAAAAAACAAUGUCAUAUCAUGUGGUGAAAUUGCCUAGAAAAAGUAUGUAGCAUUUGAUCCCAGACAU
rnacentral:misc_RNA from 1 species